GACGAAGGGGGCUAGCGUUGUUCGGAAUUACUGGGCGUAAAGCGCGUGUAGGCGGUUGUUCAAGUCAGGUGUGAAAGCCUUGAGCUCAACUCAAGAAAUGCACUUGAUACUGGGAAGCUUGAGUCCGGGAGAGGUGAGUGGAACUGCGAGUGUAGAGGUGAAAUUCGUAGAUAUUCGCAAGAACACCAGUGGCGAAGGCGGCUCACUGGCCCGGUACUGACGCUGAGGUGCGAAAGCGUGGGGAGCAAACAGG
rnacentral:rRNA from 1 species